AGUGGAUGGGGAGCAACCUAGUUGUGCGUGUGUAAAGGUAGUGCCAAGAAAAGCGGUGAUCAUGAUGAAAAUCAAUUCCCGGUACCCGAAACCGACACAGGUGGGCAAGUAGAGAAUACUAAGGGGCGCGAGGUAACUCUCUCCAAGGAACUCGGCAAAUGACCCCGUAACUUAGGGAGAAGGGGUGCCACCGAGAGGUGGUCGCAGUGAAGAGGCCCAGGCGACUGUUUAGCAAAAACAUAGGUCUCUGCAAACUCGAAAGAGGAGGUAUAGGGGCUGACGCCUGCCCAGUGCCGGAAGGUUAAAGAAGUUGGUCAGUCUUAGGAUAAAGCUAGCGACUGAAGCCCCGGUGAACGGCGGCCGUAACUAUAACGGUCCUAAGGUAGCGAAAUUCCUUGUCGGGUAAGUUCCGACCCGCACGAAAGGCGUAACGAUCUGGGCGCUGUCUCGGAGAGAGGCUCGGCGAAAUAGGAUUGUCUGUGAAGAUACGGACUACCUGCAUUUGGACAGAAAGACCCUAUGAAGCUUUACUAUAGCUUGGAAUUGUGUUCGGGCUUCCUGUGCGCAGGAUAGGUGGGAGGCGAAGAAGGUAUUCUUGUGGGGAUACUGGAGCCAACGGUGAGAUACCACUCUCAGGAGGCUAGAAUUCUAACUUAAUUAAGGACAGUUUCAGGUGGGUAGUUUGACUGGGGCGGUCGCCUCCAAAAAGGUAACGGAGGCGUACAAAGGUUCCCUCAGACUGGUUGGAAAUCAGUCGCAGAGUGCAAAGGCAGAAGGGAGCUUGACUGCGAGAAGUACAGUUCGAGCAGGGUGGAAACACGGUCUUAGUGAUCCGACGGUGCUGUGUGGAAGGGCCGUCGCUCAACGGAUAAAAGUUACUCUAGGAUAACAGGCUGAUCUCCCCCAAGAGUUCACAUCGACGGUGAGGUUUGGCACCUCGAUGUCGGCUCAUCGCAACCUGGGGCGGAAGUACGUCCCAAGGGUUGGGCUGUUCGCCCAUUAAAGCGGUACGUGAGCUGGGUUCAGAACGUCGUGAGACAGUUCGGUCCAUAUCCGAUGUAGGCGUGAGAAUAUUGAGAGGAGCCUUCCUUAGUACGAGAGGACCGGGAAGGACGCACCGCUGGUGUACCUGUUAUGAUGCCAAUUGUAAACGCAGGGUAGCCAAGUGCGGAGAGGAUAACCGCUGAAAGCAUCUAAGUGGGAAGCCCACCUCAAGAUGAGUAUUCUGGUGUAAGGUCACGGGAAGACGACCCGUAAAUAGGCACGAGGUGGAAGUGCAGAGAUGUAUGAAGCCGAAGUGUACUAAUAGACCGUCGGCUUGACC
rnacentral:rRNA from 1 species